GACGAACGCUGGCGGCGUGCUUAACACAUGCAGGUCGAACGGUAAGGCUCCAGCUUGCUGGGGUACACGAGUGGCGAACGGGUGAGUAACACGUGGGUGACCUGCCCUGCACUUCGGGAUAAGCCUGGGAAACUGGGUCUAAUACCGGAUAGGACCAUGGUGUGGAUACUGUGGUGGAAAGUUUUUUCGGUGUGGGAUGGGCCCGCGGCCUAUCAGCUUGUUGGUGGGGUAAUGGCCUACCAAGGCGGCGACGGGUAGCCGGCCUGAGAGGGUGGACGGCCACAUUGGGACUGAGACACGGCCCAGACUCCUACGGGAGGCAGCAGUGGGGAAUAUUGCACAAUGGGCGGAAGCCUGAUGCAGCGACGCCGCGUGGGGGAUGACGGCCUUCGGGUUGUAAACUCCUUUCACCAUCGACGAAGGGUUUCUGACGGUAGAUGGAGAAGAAGCACCGGCUAACUACGUG
rnacentral:rRNA from 1 species